GCCCUUGAUCUAAUCAAAGGUGUUACCUGCCCAAUGAUUAAUAAUUAAGUAUUAAAAUCUUUAAAAUUAAUUUAAAGGACGCGGUAUCCUGACCGUGAUAAUGUAGCAUAAUCAUUCGCCACUUAAUUAGUGGAUAGUAUGAAUGGUAUAACGAAUAUAACACUGUCUUAAUAAGAAAUUUUGUAAAAUUGAAAUAAUAGUUAAGAUGCUAUUUUAAGUUGUAAGACGAGAAGACCCUAUAGAGCUUAACUAUAACCCUUUAAAAACCAAAAAGUUAACUUUUUAAUAAAAGGGAUAGGUAGUUUAGUUGGGGCGACUAUCUUCUACAAUAAACGAAGAUGAACAAAGCUAAUUAAAUGCUUACUGUAUAAUUAAUAAAUUUAACAGUUAUUAAUAUAGGUAAUAAAGACCCGUUAUCAAUUUAUAAUAAUGGUAACGAUCAACAAAUAAAAGCUACCUUAGGGAUAACAGGAUAAUCUUGUU
rnacentral:rRNA from 1 species